AACGAACGCUGGCGGCGUGCUUAACACAUGCAAGUCGAACGCGAAAGGUUCUUUCGGGAACUGAGUAGAGUGGCGCACGGGUGAGUAACGCGUAAGUAAUCUACCCUGGUAUCUGGAAUAACUCAUCGAAAGGUGUGCUAAAUACCGGAUACGUUGGUUUACCAAGAAAGGAGGCCUCUGCAUAUGCUUCCGUACCAGGAUGAGCUUGCGUACCAUUAGCUAGUUGGUGAGGUAACGGCUCACCAAGGCGACGAUCUCUAGCUGGUCUGAGAGGAUGACCCAGCCACACUGGAACUGAGACACGGUCCAGACUCCGUACGGGAGGCAGCAGUGGGGAAUUUUGGACAAUGGGCGCAAGCCUGAUCCAGCAAUGCCGCGUGCAGGAAGAA
rnacentral:rRNA from 1 species